rnacentral:rRNA from 1 species
GAUGAACGCUGGCGGCGUGCCUAAUACAUGCCAGUCGAGCGAACAGACGAGGAGCUUGCUCCUCUGACGUUAGCGGCGGACGGGUGAGUAACACGUGGAUAACCUACCUAUAAGACUGGGAUAACUUCGGGAAACCGGAGCUAAUACCGGAUAAUAUAUUGAACCGCAUGGUUCAAUAGUGAAAGACGGUUUUGCUGUCACUUAUAGAUGGAUCCGCGCCGCAUUAGCUAGUUGGUAAGGUAACGGCUUACCAAGGCAACGAUGCGUAGCCGACCUGAGAGGGUGAUCGGCCACACUGGAACUGAGACACGGUCCAGACUCCUACGGGAGGCAGCAGUAGGGAAUCUUCCGCAAUGGGCGAAAGCUUGACGGAGCAACGCCGCGUGAGUGAUGAAGGUCUUCGGAUCGUAAGACUCUGUUAUUAGGGAAGAACAAAUGUGUAAGUAACUAUGCACGUCUUGACGGUACCUAAUCAGAAAGCCACGGCUAACUACGUG